rnacentral:rRNA from 1 species
GUUGAACGCUGGCGGCGUGCCUAAUACAUGCAAGUCGAGCGAACAGACGAGGAGCUUGCUCCUCUGACGUUAGCGGCGGACGGGUGAGUAACACGUGGAUAACCUACCUAUAAGACUGGGAUAACUUCGGGAAACCGGAGCUACUACCGGCUAAUAUCUUGAAACGCAGGGUGCAAUAGUGAAAGACGGUUUUGCUGUCACUUGUAGGUUGAUCCGCGCCGGAUUAGCUAGUUGGUAAGGUAACGGCUUACCAAGGCAACGAUGCGUAGCCGGCCUGAGAGGGUGAUCGGCCACACUGGAACUGAGACACGGCCCAGACUCCUACGGGAGGCAGCAGUAGGGAAUCUUCCGCAAUGGGCGAAAGCCUGACGGAGCAACGCCGCGUGAGUGAUGAAGGUCUUCGGAUCGUAAAACUCUGUUAUUAGGGAAGAACAAAUGUGUAAGUAACUAUGCACGUCUUGACGGUACCUAAUCAGAAAGCCACGGCUAACUACGUG